ACCAAACCGAACUGGAGCUGGCCCAAUGGACCAACCAGCUUGGGUUUUAGCAUUUGGGAAAGUUUUUAGAGAAGUGGGAGCAUGUCUAAUUAGCAUCAUGCCGGAAUGAAAAUUUCAGAACGUCCUGUGGAGGGAAAGGACUGCUCUGUCAAGAAGAAGAAGAAACGCUACAGAACGUAAAAAGGUACAAUAAGUAUGAUAUUACCAGUCGUAAAGCUAGGAACCCUUGCUCUCAAAACAUUUUGCAAGCCCAUUGCUAAUCGUCUCAAGAAGGAAGCAGGGUUGCACCCUAAGUUCCGUCACUUCAUCAUCAACAUGGCCCAGGCAAAUCAUAGAUUCAGUACAAAAAUGCAAAGACGCAUUUAUGGCCAUUCAGUUGAUGCUGUAAUACGACCAUUGGAUGAGGAGAAGGCUGUCCAAGCUGCUGCAGAUCUUAUUGGGGAACUCUUUGUGUUUUCGGUUGCUGGAGCUGCUGUUAUUUCCGAGGUGCAAAGAAGUUCCAGAUCUGAAGCGCGAAAGGAGGAGAAGCGAAGACAGGAAAUUGAGGCGAUGAUGCGAAGAGAUGAAGAAUUAGCAAAAGAAAUUCAGGUUCUCAAACAGAUGCUUGAUGAGGUGGAUCAACUUGCUAGAGGACGAGGUAUUGCUGGGUUUUCCCAUUUCAAGCAUGGCCAUGCUACUGAAGAUGGAAAUGGAAAACCAACUUGAUCACUCAAAAAUUAAGUAGAGCAAGAAGUUUACUGGAAGAACUGACCUAACUUACUUUGCACCCUUGCUCCUCGCUAGGGAAAAAUCCCGACAAUGGUCGAGAACUGAAUACUUUGUACAAAGGCUUCAAUUAACUCAUGCGGCCAGGCAUCAAGUGCUUAUGAAGUUUCCAAUUCUCUAAUCGACAGAAUCAUAUGCUAGUGGAUCUAGGUCCCAUUUGUGGGUGAAAAUCAAUUACAUAUGCUUUGUGUUUAUGCUGGACCGUCUGCAUAUUCAGUUUCUGUUGUAAUUUUUCAGAUAUAUACAUACCAAUGGGUCAGUUUUCAAUGGAAACUCUAUCUUGAUCAUGCUUUAACAAAG